rnacentral:rRNA from 1 species
GACGAACGCUGGCGGCGUGCUUAACACAUGCAAGUCGAACGGAAAGGCCCUGCUUUUGUGGGGUGCUCGAGUGGCGAACGGGUGAGUAACACGUGAGUAACCUGCCCUUGACUUUGGGAUAACUCCAGGAAACUGGGGCUAAUACCGGAUAGGAGCUCCUGCUGCAUGGUGGGGGUUGGAAAGUUUCGGCGGUUGGGGAUGGACUCGCGGCUUAUCAGCUUGUUGGUGGGGUAGUGGCUUACCAAGGCUUUGACGGGUAGCCGGCCUGAGAGGGUGACCGGCCACAUUGGGACUGAGAUACGGCGCAGACUCCUACGGGAGGCAGCAGUGGGGAAUAUUGCACAAUGGGCGGAAGCCUGAUGCAGCAACGCCGCGUGCGGGAUGACGGCCUUCGGGUUGUAAACCGCUUUCGCCUGUGACGAAGCGUGAGUGACGGUAAUGGGUAAAGAAGCACCGGCUAACUACGUG